UUGGAACUGACCUAUAGGCUGCAACGUUAGGGUGGUUUGAUAUUUUUUUCUCGAGGCAUCAUGCUGAUGGGACCACUGAUGAACGCCCUGAGUGUGAUAUUAGGUUGGAGGAACUGCCUAAGAAUCAUCAGCGGUGCCAAUUUAGUCCUCGGAGUGGCGGCCUCGUUGCCCUUCAUAAAGUCUCCGAGGACAAGGCCGGAGAUGGCAGAGGAGGAAGCCAGAAAGGACGGCCCGUCCCCUGUCGUGGGAGAAAACAGAGAAGGGUCUGGAGAUGAAAACGAGGACCUUGAAACUGACAAAUUAAAGUGUCAUGGCCCGACGAAUGACGACAACGACGGCAGCCGCUGCCAAGCCGACACUGCCAUGCUACCUAAUCCUUUUCUGAAUGUAGAUAUCUGGUUAUUCGUAUCGUCUUUAACAUUCGCCCAGAUGGGAUGGUCCUUCGUCAUUGUCAAUUACUCUAGUUUUAUGGCUGGGCUAGGGUUGUCAGUCAGUCAGAUGUCCAUUGCUCUGUUGAUUUCGGCGCAGCGGAGGUCGCCUUCAAAAUCCUCUUCGUCAUUUUCGGUGACCGCCUUCCAGCCAGGAAGCUGUACUUAAUCGCUGCCACCUCAACGGGCGGCGCCAUCGUGUCGGGCUUCCUGCUGGUUUGUUCGACAUUCGGACACAUGAUUGCCCUGUCGACUGCUUGGGGCAUCUGCCGCAGCGGAAUCUACGGAACUAACCUCUCAGCCAGCGACGAACUGUUCUGCGGCUACGGCUCCCGAGUAGCCACUGCAGUAUCAACGGUGGGAUUCGGCUUGGGAGUUUUGAUCGGCUCACCAAUCACAGGUAGAUCCAAAACUUAUCUGCAGCGAUGUUAACUUAAAAAUAUCAUUGAUUAAAAGGAAGUCAAAUUAGGUUUCCAUUCUUGAAUCAUCACCGGCUGGGGAAAAAGAGGCUCCAUGAUUUCCAAACUAUCUCGAGAGACUGGUAACUGUUGAAAUGUCAUAACACUGCCCAAACUAUGGUGUUAAAAUGAACACAAGAUACUGUGGACUUGCGGCGUUCUUGGGGGCUU
rnacentral:misc_RNA from 1 species